GUGCAUGAGGAGAUGGGCAGGAGUGCCGCGCCCGGCAGACUCCAGGGAGAUGCCAAGAGACAGGAGCAACUCCCAUUUCUGCGUCGGGAAACCUUGGUUGGUGGGGUGCCUGUGUGCGAUUUUUCAAAGCAUCGGCUUAAACCCGGGGUUGAUGCGUCGGGAACUGUUCGUGGUGUUGCAAAACGCUCGUAAUGUACAUUGGAAAUAAAAGCAUCGCGCGGUUUCCCACAGGUCGUUCCCGUCUCGCAGAGGCUGCAAGGGGCGCAGAGUCACGGCCGGCGCUGUGCCUGUCUGGAUGCCCUGCUCAGCAAGAGGAAAUGAGAAUGGAGUGCUCCUGCAUCCCUUCCAAAUCCAAGGCAAAUAUAAAGUCUGACCUUGUGCAAGUUGUGCCAUGUUCAGAGACAGGAGACAUGGACAUGAAUCCUGUGGGGAUGAGCCCAGGCAGCUCCAUUCUGGUUUUGUGCCCUUCACCAAAGGACUGAAGAUGUGGGCAUUGCAGAUCUGAAUUUUCAGAGCAAGCCAGAGCAGUCCUGUGAAAAAACAAGUUCCUAGACUUUGAG